rfam:Glycine max cultivar Williams 82 chromosome 8, whole genome shotgun sequence.
GUAAAGCAUUUGUAGGUGACUUUUUAAAUUCUCCAUCAAAUUUCAGGACUCAACCCUGGACGAGCAAUGAAAACUACCAAGCUUGAGUAUGAUAGGGGUAGAAAAAAAUUUCGAUGAAGAGGUGAAAUGUUUAGAGAUUGAAAAAAAUAUCAACAAUAAAAUUUUUAUUGGAUUAACAUUGACACUCAGAGACGAAAACUAAAAGAACAAAUAUGAUUAGAUAUCUAAUAGUUCUAGCCUAAUC